AUUUAUAUAGUUUAGAUAAAACAUUACAUUUUCAUUGUAAAAAUAUGCUUUUUUUUCAUUAUAAAUA
rnacentral:tRNA from 1 species